GGCGAACGCUGGCGGCGUGCUUAACACAUGCAAGUCGAGCGGAGCGGCGAACGGGUGAGUAACGCGUUAGUAACUGCCCCCCUCUCUGGGAUAACAGUUGGAAACGGCUGCUAAUACCGGAUCGUGGGGCAUGACUCGCGUCCUAUCAGCUUGUUGGUAGGGUAGUGGCCUACCAAGGCGACGAAGGGUACCCGGCCUGAGAGGGCGACCUGCCACAUUGGGAUGAGAUACGGCGCUAACACGUACGGGAGGCAGUAGUGGGGAAUAUUGCACAAUGGGGGAAAACCUGAGGCAGCGACGCCGCGGUAAUUC
rnacentral:rRNA from 1 species